rnacentral:rRNA from 1 species
ACACGACUACAUUAGAUACCCGCGUAGUCCCAGCCCUAAACGAUGCGCGUUAGGUGUAUCGGUGACCACGAGUCACCGGGGUGCCGAAGGGAAACCGUGAAACGUGCCGCCUGGGAAGUACGGUCGCAAGGCUGAAACUUAAAGGAAUUGGCGGGGGAGCACCACAACAGGUGGAGCCUGCGGUUUAAUUGGAUUCAACGCCGGACAUCUCACCGGAUAAGACAGCUGAAUGAUUGUCAAUCUGAAGGUUUUACAUGACUAGCUG